rnacentral:rRNA from 1 species
GGGACAGUAGGUUGGUCGUGCCACCGGUACGUACUGGUCUCACUGAUUCCUCCUUCCUGAAGAACCGUAAUGCCAUUAAUUUGGUGUUGCGGGGAAACAGGACUGUUACUUUGAAAAAAUUAGAGUGUUUAAAGCAAGCUAACGCUUGAAUACAUUAGCAUGGAAUAAUCAAAUAGGACGAUCGAUCCUAUUUUGUUGGUUUCUAGGAUUGACGUA